AAAGCUCGUGUUUGAAUCUUUUUAUGGGGUCUGGGAAGUCGUUCACUUUGUGCCAGCUGGAAGCUUGGUUAGCUGAGUAUAAGGUUAGGAGAGGUGCCACGCGCACUGUUGAGGUGGAGGAAAUUGAUGAUAAUGAUGACAGUUGUGGGCUUUGUGGUGAUGGUGGUGAGUUGAUUUGCUGUGAUAAUUGCCCCUCAACUUCUCAUCUAACAUGCUUAUGUGUACAGGAGCUACCUGAAGGCAAUGCUCUUGUUGGAUUUGUGGGAAUGUGGUCAAUGAUAACGAGCCUUCAAGUUUGGAUGGUCUGAAAUGUUUGCAAUGCGAACAUAAAUACCAUGAGGAAUGUCAUGGAGAAACCGGAAUAGAAAGAGACUUGACGUGGUUCUGUGGGGAAAGCUGAAAGGAGGUUUAUUUCGGGCUUCAUUCCCGGAUUGGAAUUAUGAAUUCCAUUUCCGAUGGUUUCUCGUGGACCAUUCUGAAAUGCAUACAUGGCGACCAAAAGAUUCAUUCCGGAUUGGUUGCUUUGAAAGCUGAAUGCAAGUUGAAACUGGCAGAUGCACUUACAAUUAUGGAGGAGUGUUUUCUUCCCAUGGUGGAUCCAAGAACAGACAUUGAUAUGAUCCCACAUGUUUUAUACAAUUGGGGAUCAGAAUUUGCACGUCUGAACUAUGAGGGGUUCUAUACAGUGAUCUUGGAGAAAAAUGACGUAAUACUUUGUGUAGCAUCAUUAAGGUAUACAAAUUGGUGAUAUUUUCUAGCAUUGAAUAGUAAAUGGCCAUUUUGCCCUUUGACCUUUUUAACCCUAUGUUUGAAAUUUGUGUUCAUGAUUCAUGGGGUAAAUGUUGCGGAGAUGCCUUUAAUUGCAACAUGCAGCAAAUAUCGGUGUCAGGGAAUGUGUAGGCGUCUCAUGAAUGCUAUUGAAGAGAUGCUCAAGUCAUUCAAGGUUGAGAAGCUGGUGGUAUCUGCGAUCCCCAGUGUGGUUGACACGUGGAGGGAUGGAUUUGGAUUCACAGCCUUAGAAUCCCAUGAAAAAAAAGAGCCUCACAAAAAAUAGUUCUUUUCCUACAGGUUGGUUUUUUGUUAAAUAAAAGAUGUUCAAGCAUUAUGGAGGGUGUUAUGCCUGAGUUUCAAAGAGGGGUUAAAAGUUUUCAAAUUGAUGUUGACCAAAAUGCUAGUGAUGAAGGAGAAAAGAUUUCACUGCUACUAGAAAAAGCUGCAUAACCACCAUUUCAUGUGCAAAAGACAAGAAUGCCCUUCUCAUUAAACAUAAAACCUAAAUGAUGUCAUUUGGUAGGCAAGUAGGCACUUAGAGAUGCAAAAGUCAAUUAAAAUGGCCUUAGAGAAAGCUAGUCACAAGGCCUCCCCACAAUCUAUAUCACAUUCUUUUGUAACUAUUAUUUGUGUACAGUUUAUAAAAUGAGUAAGGCAGUUAGAAUUGGAAUA